UACGUAGGGUCCAAGCGUUAUCCGGAAUCACUGGGCGUAAAGCGUGCGUAGGCGGAUAAGUUAGUGUAAUGCGAAAUCCUGUGGCUCAACCAUAUGGACUGUAUUGCAUACUGCUUAUCUGGAGGAAUGCAGAGGCAAGUGGAAUUACCGGUGUAGCAGUGAAAUGCGUAGAGAUCGGGAGGAACACCAGAGGCGAAGGCGGCGACCUGGACAGGAACUGACACUCAACUGCGAAAGCGUGGGGAGCAAACAGG
rnacentral:rRNA from 1 species